UACAGAGGGUGCAAGCGUUAAUCGGAAUUACUGGGCGUAAAGCGUGCGUAGACGGUUACAUAAGUCGGGUGUGAAAGCCCCGGGCUCAACCUGGGAAUUGCAUUCGAGACUGCGUAGCUAGGGUGCGGAAGAGGGAAGCGGAAUUUCCGGUGUAGCGGUGAAAUGCGUAGAGAUCGGAAGGAACACCGGUGGCGAAGGCGGCUAUCUGGACUGACACUGACGCUGAGGCGCGAAAGCGUGGGUAGCAAACAGG
rnacentral:rRNA from 1 species